AUUGAACGCUGGCGGCAGGCCUAACACAUGCAAGUCGAGCGGCAGCGGGAAAGUAGCUUGCUACUUUUGCCGGCGAGCGGCGGACGGGUGAGUAAUGCCUGGGAAAUUGCCCAGUCGAGGGGGAUAACAGUUGGAAACGACUGCUAAUACCGCAUACACCCUACGGGGGAAAGCAGGGGACCUUCGGGCCUUGCGCGAUUGGAUAUGCCCAGGUGGGAUUAGCUAGUUGGUGAGGUAAUGGCUCACCAAGGCGACGAGCCCUAGCUGGUCCGGGGUGAUGAUCAGCGACACUGGAACUGAGACACGGUCCAGACUCCUACGGGAGGGAGCAGUGGGGAAUUUUGGACAAUGGGGGCAACCCUGAUCCAGCCAUGCCGCGUGAGUGAAGAAGGCCUUCGGGUUGUAAAGCUCUUUCGGCCGGGAAGAAAUCGUAUCAGCUAAUACCUGGUGCGGAUGACGGUACCGGCAUAAGAAGCACCGGCUAACUACGUGCCAGCCGCCGCUGUAAGAC
rnacentral:rRNA from 1 species